UCAACUCUCAAGCCUGGCUUGCUGUUGGACCUCUCGUCGUUCAAGACGGGUCCUAAAGUUAAUGGCGGAGUCAUCAGACCCUAGAUGCAACGAGCUCUCGUAGCACGCAUUUAAGGGGCUGGCGGCUCUAGUCUCAACCCAUAUCAUUUACAA
rnacentral:misc_RNA from 1 species